AGAUUUUUUGAACUCAGUCUUACGAAUCGUAUAGGACUUCUCCUUUUCUACUAAGGUCAAUAAAUUCCCUCUAGGUGCAUCCUACUCCAAACAGCGAACCUAAACUUACAUAACCAACAUACACAGCAAGGACCCAUAUGGCUAGAGACCAAGAGAAUGUACAGUCAAACUAAAUAGCCUCACUGUGAAUAGCCAACACACC
rnacentral:lncRNA from 1 species